UACAGAGGGGGCAAGCGUUGUUCGGAAUUACUGGGCGUAAAGGGCGCGUAGGCGGCCUUCUAAGUCGAACGUGAAAUCCCCGGGCUCAACCCGGGAACUGCGUCCGAUACUGGAAGGCUUGAAUCCGGGAGAGGGAUGCGGAAUUCCAGGUGUAGCGGUGAAAUGCGUAGAUAUCUGGAGGAACACCGGUGGCGAAGGCGGGUCUCUGGGCAACAACUGACGCUGAGGAGCGAAAGCGUGGGGAGCGAACAGG
rnacentral:rRNA from 1 species